rnacentral:rRNA from 1 species
CUUUUACAAUGAAGAGUUUGAUCCUGGCUCAGGAUGAACGCUAGCUACAGGCUUAACACAUGCAAGUCGAGGGGCAGCAUUUUAGUUUGCUUGCAAACUGAAGAUGGCGACCGGCGCACGGGUGAGUAACACGUAUCCAACCUGCCGAUAACUCCGGAAUAGCCUUUCGAAAGAAAGAUUAAUACCGGAUAGUAUACGAAUAUCGCAUGAUAUUUUUAUUAAAGAAUUUCGGUUAUCGAUGGGGAUGCGUUCCAUUAGUUUGUUGGCGGGGUAACGGCCCACCAAGACUACGAUGGAUAGGGGUUCUGAGAGGAAGGUCCCCCACAUUGGAACUGAGACACGGUCCAAACUCCUACGGGAGGCAGCAGUGAGGAAUAUUGGUCAAUGGGCGCGAGCCUGAACCAGCCAAGUAGCGUGAAGGAUGAAGGCUCUAUGGGUCGUAAACUUCUUUUAUAUGGGAAUAAAGUUUUCCACGUGUGGAAUUUUGUAUGUACCAUAUGAAUAAGGAUCGGCUAACUCCGUGCCAGCAGCCGCGGUAAUACGGAGGAUCCGAGCGUUAUCCGGAUUUAUUGGGUUUAAAGGGAGCGUAGGUGGAUUGUUAAGUCAGUUGUGAAAGUUUGCGGCUCAACCGUAAAAUUGCAGUUGAAACUGGGAGUCUUGAGUACAGUAGAGGUGGGCGGAAUUCGUGGUGUAGCGGUGAAAUGCUUAGAUAUCACGAAGAACUCCGAUUGCGAAGGCAGCUCACUAGACUGCAACUGACACUGAUGCUCGAAAGUGUGGGUAUCAAACAGGAUUAGAUACCCUGGUAGUCCACACAGUAAACGAUGAAUACUCGCUGUUUGCGAUAUACAGUAAGCGGCCAAGCGAAAGCAUUAAGUAUUCCACCUGGGGAGUACGCCGGCAACGGUGAAACUCAAAGGAAUUGACGGGGGCCCGCACAAGCGGAGGAACAUGUGGUUUAAUUCGAUGAUACGCGAGGAACCUUACCCGGGCUUAAAUUGCAACAGAAUAUAUUGGAAACAGUAUAGCCGUAAGGCUGUUGUGAAGGUGCUGCAUGGUUGUCGUCAGCUCGUGCCGUGAGGUGUCGGCUUAAGUGCCAUAACGAGCGCAACCCUUAUCUUUAGUUACUAACAGGUCAUGCUGAGGACUCUAGAGAGACUGCCGUCGUAAGAUGUGAGGAAGGUGGGGAUGACGUCAAAUCAGCACGGCCCUUACGUCCGGGGCUACACACGUGUUACAAUGGGGGGUACAGAAGGCGGCUACCUGGUGACAGGAUGCUAAUCCCAAAAACCUCUCUCAGUUCGGAUCGAAGUCUGCAACCCGACUUCGUGAAGCUGGAUUCGCUAGUAAUCGCGCAUCAGCCAUGGCGCGGUGAAUACGUUCCCGGGCCUUGUACACACCGCCCGUCAAGCCAUGAAAGCCGGGGGUACCUGAAGUACGUAACCGCAAGGAGCGUCCUAGGGUAAAACUGGUAAUUGGGGCUAAGUCGUAACAAGGUAGCCGUACCGGAAGGUGCGGCUGGAACACCUCCUUUCU